rnacentral:rRNA from 1 species
UCGGAUUGCAGGCUGCAACCCGCCUGCAUGAAGUUGGAAUCGCUAGUAAUCGCGGAUCAGCAUGCCGCGGUGAAUACGUUCCCGGGCCUUGUACACACCGCCCGUCACACCAUGAGAGUCGGGAACACCCGAAGUCCGUAGUCUGACCGCAAGGGGGACGCGGCGAAGGUGAGUUCGAUAAUUGGGGUGAAGUCGUAACAAGGUACC